rnacentral:rRNA from 1 species
GAUCCUGGCUCAGGACGAACGCUGGCGGCGUGCCUAAUACAUGCAAGUAGAACGCUGAAGACUUUAGCUUGCUAAAGUUGGAAGAGUUGCGAACGGGUGAGUAACGCGUAGGUAACCUGCCUACUAGCGGGGGAUAACUAUUGGAAACGAUAGCUAAUACCGCAUAACAGCAUUUAACCCAUGUUAGAUGCUUGAAAGGAGCAAUUGCUUCACUAGUAGAUGGACCUGCGUUGUAUUAGCUAGG